GAUGAACGCUGGCGGCGUGCUUAACACAUGCAAGUCGAACGGGAUCCAAGGGGUGCUUGCACUUUUUGGUGAGAGUGGCGAACGGGUGAGUAACACGUGAGUAACCUGUCCUUUUCUUUGGGAUAAGCAUUCGAAAGGGUGUUUAAUACCUUAUGUUCUGUCUGCCUCGCAUGGGGUGGGUGGGAAAGGCUGUGGCCGGAUUUGGGUGGGCUCGCGGUCUAUCAGCUUGUUGGUGGGGUGAUGGCUUACCAAGGCUUUGACGGGUAGCCGGCCUGAGAGGGUGGUCGGUCACAUUGGGACUGAGAUACGGCCCAGACUCCUGCGGGAGGCAGCAGUGGGGGAUAUUGCACAAUGGGCGAAAGCCUGAUGCAGCGACGCCGCGUGGGGGAUGAAGGCCUUCGGGUUGUAAACUUCUUUUGCUCUGAACAAGGCAUGCCAGUGGGUGUGUUGAGUGUAGGGGUUGAUUAGCGCCGGCUAACUACGUG
rnacentral:rRNA from 1 species